rnacentral:rRNA from 1 species
GAUGAACGCUGGCGGCGUGCUUAACACACGCAAGUCGAACGGAAAGGCUCCUGCUUGCAGGGGUACUCGAGUGGCGAACGGGUGAGUAACACGUGGGUGAUCUGCCCUGCACUUCGGGAUAAGCCUGGGAAACUGGGUCUAAUACCGGAUAGGACGAUGGUUUGGAUGCCAUUGUGGAAAGUUUUUUCGGUGUGGGAUGAGCUCGCGGCCUAUCAGCUUGUUGGUGGGGUAAUGGCCUACCAAGGCGUCGACGGGUAGCCGGCCUGAGAGGGUGUACGGCCACAUUGGGACUGAGAUACGGCCCAGACUCCUACGGGAGGCAGCAGUGGGGAAUAUUGCACAAUGGGCGCAAGCCUGAUGCAGCGACGCCGCGUGGGGGAUGACGGCCUUCGGGUUGUAAACUCCUUUCGCUAGGGACGAAGCGCAAGUGACGGUACCUGGAGAAGAAGCACCGGCUAACUACGUG